UAAAAAAUAAAAUUUAAAGAGAGAAAAGGAGACACAGGCAGACCCUGUGACACUACAGCUUCUGGCACACAGUAGGUGCAUCACAAACAUCUGUUGAGUUCACACACUCUUGCCUUCUCAAACCUUUUUGUCAAGUCUUCAGUGAAAAGGAAUUGCUGAUUGAGCAAGAAUUAAACUUCUAGAGACUUCUGGAUCCACUGAAGUUUAAGACAAGAGGGGUCUGUUUCUAUUUUAAACAGCUCUAGUCAGGAAGUGUUAGAAAGUUCUAAACAGGAAAUGUUCCAACACACCAUCCAAGCAUGAAGCAGGAGACACCUAUAAUUGAGCUUGCUGCCACCAACCCCAACAGCAAGAAUUCCAGUCCUGCUGCUGCAAAGUAGAAUUAUCGUUUGACUUCUGUUUUGCUGACAAGAAAUGUCCUGAGCAAGGCUACCUGGGAAAAUGACCUCACACAUGGAAAACGUUGGAGCCCAUCUGUUUCCAAUGUGCUGUUUUCCGAAAAUUAGGGAAGUUCAGUUUUCCCUUUGACACUCUCUCUUACUACCAAUCCCAAUGCCAGGGCUGUCCUGCUUCUACAAGUGACAAUGACAAAUAUGGGCCUGAAGAAAGAUGAGCUGAUGGCAUUCCCAGCUUAUUACCUCUCCUUGGGGUCCUUAUCUCACAUACAUGAAUUCAACUCAUAAACUCAGCUGGGUGAGGAUCUGUUAUUCAGCUACAUAAGAAGUGAUUGCUUAAGACUCGGGUGUGUGGUGAAAUGAGGCAGAAUUUUCUCAAUGGAA
rnacentral:lncRNA from 1 species